rnacentral:rRNA from 1 species
CCAAGGGUCGGGCGCACCAAGGAUGGGACGGCGGCGUAUCAGACUGUUGGUGGUGUGACGGACCACCAAACGUACGAAGGCCACGGGCGAUGGGAGUCGGAGCCCGGAGAUGGGGACUGAGACAAGGCCCCAGGCCCUACGGGGCGCAGCAGGCGCGAAAACUCCGCAAUGCGCGCAAGCGUGACGGGGGGACCCCAAGUGCCGUUGGUCUUUUGAUCGACGGUUUUUCGGAAGUUUAGGGAGCUUCCGGAAUAAGGGCUGGGUAAGACUGGUGCCAGCCGACCGCGGUAA